rnacentral:rRNA from 1 species
AUUGAACGCUGGCGGCAGGCCUAACACAUGCAAGUCGAGCGAGAGGCGGACGGGUGAGUAAUGUCUGGGAAACUGCCUGAUGGCGGGGGAUAACUACUGAAAACGGUAGCUAAUACCGCAUACCAUCAGAUUGGCCCAGAGGGGAUUAGCUAGUAGGUGAGGUAACGGCUCACCUAUGCGACGAUCCCUAGCUGGUCUGAGAGGAUGACCAGCCACACUGGCACUGAGCCACGGUCCAGACUCCUACGGGAGGCAGCAGUGGGGUAUAUUGCGCAAUGGGCGCAAGCCUGAUGCAGCCAUGCCGCGUGUAUGAAGAAGGCCUUCGGGUUGUAAAGUUCUUUCGGCAGGGAGGCGUUACCCACAGAAGAAGCACCGGCUAACUCCGUGCCAGCAGCCGCGGUAAUUC